AAGCUUUAAAUGGCAGAAAUUCACAUUUAUUUACUUAGCAAUUAAAACGACUGGUUUAAAUAUAUAUAUUUUUUCCUAUAGUCAAGCAUGAAAUAAUAUAAAUGUUAUUAAUUUGUUUGUUCAGCUGGUUUGCACAAUUGUCCAAACAUAUCAUCAGCUGUUUUCAUUCAAUGUUUACCUGCUCAUCCCUAUCGAUUAGCAUAUAUUUAUCGAUAGCACAGAAAUCGUAACUACUGGUUUUUAUAUUUGCAAAUAUUUAUUAGUAAAUUUCGAGGAGAAUUGUAAAACAGACUGCCGGGCAGGUCAUCCACCUAAUCCAUGCCAUCAAGAUGAGUCCUUGGAGCAACGGCUUGAGCUGCCGGGCACUAGAGCAACAGAUGUCUUGCAGCUUGGUCGGGGGAUUCCUCCAUCUGUUUGACUAUGUCCCACCGGAACUGAUUACUCUGUUUAUAUCCAACAGUUUUUUUUUGCCCCUGCCUGUAGUGGUGGCCACGCUUCCUCGAUGUUUACCGCCUGCUCAUGGAACUGUAUCAUCCGGAGGAUCUGGAGAUUUGAAAUCACCUUAUUGCGACCUAUAAAUUAAAGUGCAUUCAAAGAUUUACGGCUUUAGGAACAGAACAGGUUCGUAUCGUCCCUUAAUUGGAUGUGUCCUAUGCUGUAUUGGUGAUGGGCCGGCCCGUCACUUGAGGUUGGUUGGAUUUACCAUACUGGAAUCGAAAAAGGACUCCAUUCGCUGGAGAGAUGCUUUUGGCAGAGGCCUGGUGCUUGCCGAAUUGACGCACUGCUCAACUUAAGUGACGAACCAAUUUAUUGGCACAGUUGGCAUGACGUUACCUUAAAAGGUAUUUUUGUAUUUUGUUUGUAGGUUUUCCCUUUCAGAAAGAACCGAAAACCGGCGGGCCUCAACAAAUCUAUUGAUUUAUAUUCUGCAGGAGCUGGGUAAAGUCCGCCA